UCCAAAAGUUAUACAAGGGAGAGCACAUACCUUAAAUGUAUUGAGUGAAAAAAACUCCACCAAUGGGUUGACUGCUUUGUCAGUUGGGUCAGAAUUAAAAAAUCAUGCAACGACAGCUUCGGAAUGUGGUCGGAGCAAGCUUGAGAAUCCAUUCAUGGCGUAUUUUUAAGAUUUUGGCUCAAUUAUAAAGUUAAUUCGAUUGACGACCCUAAAUAUAUAAUCAA